AAAUAAAACCAUAGAAAUACUCGAACUCGAAAUUUUGAACUCGUUCCAAAUAAAUGAAGUCCGAGUGGAAUGUAAUAAAAAGUUAAAUACAAAGAUUUUUUUACUUCCCAAGAGACAUAUUGAGUUUCGUAUAUCACAACAAGGCACAUUCCACUUGAGGAGUAGUUUAUUAAGAGUCAAAGACCUUAAUGUCCUUAUAGUGAAUGAAACCGAACCGGGGUCGAUAUUGCCAUAAACCAAACCAUAUCAAAAAAAACUUAAACCAAUUCCCAACCCUUGUAUCGUGAUUCUUUCAUUCCCCCUUUUCCCCACUCUCUCAUUCUCUCCUUACGAUUGCGGCGGAGAUCAACUAAGAACCCUAAUUCCAGUCUCGCCGUUUCCAUCUCGUCAUUCCCGGCUGAUACGAAAUUUGCUACCGCUCCUCUCCGGUGUAAACAUCAUUACCAACACAGAUUCCGUCAUGAGAGGAAAGAACAAACCCGAUAACCUCCGAGACUUUUCGCAAGUUUUCCAUACCUCCACUUCACCCAACAAGACAACUCUGUUCCACGCUCCACAACUCCCCCACACACAGCUCCUUCGUACACAACUCCCCUGAAGACGCUUCACCCGUCCACAACAGUCCCAUCCACAACAGUCCUGAACACACUACGCCCAUCCAUGAUUCCCCUUCAAACACACCAUAACUCAUGCGAACUCAAACUACUCCACAUGUCAGCUAUCGUUCCGGUCUUCCGGGGAUUGAGCAAGAAAGAUAAUCAUAUGUUAUUUUUGUUACCUUCCUCCAUAAUGCAAGUGUAAUUUCAACUUGUUUUAGUAAUGUCAUAGCUAAAGAAAACUUGUUUCCAUACCUGAUGGUUUCAUUUUUUUGGUAUCAAUGUUUUCUCUCUUAUACACAA